AUGUUUGUAGAACAUCAGUGAUACUCAGAGAUUACGUAAGUGUCCAGGUAAGUUAGCAUUUUGCUCAUCUCCUCUUUCUUGAGCUGGCUUCUUACAGUUAUCUUGUCAAGACUGUUGUGUCUCUAACUAGGGGGUUGACCUUGAACUUCCACAAGUUUCUAGGUAGAUUUGAUAGACUUCAUGAAUUUGAUGGGAUUUUUCAGAUGUUCAGAUAAUACAUGUAUUCCUAACGCAGUUUUUACCAUGAAUUUUUAUAGAAUAUACUCAAAAGAUGAUGGAAGGCCUUCAAGAAAAGAUACCAGGAAAAUCCCAGAUUAAAUACUAUGGUCGUGAUGAGCACCGGGUGAUAUACCCACUCAGGAGGAGAAAAGUGUCUCUAUCCAAGGUCUUCUCGCUGGAUAUUUGCAGGUGUUUUAGAUAUUCUGAGAAGAGAUGAUGGUGUUCCUAACAACACUAAUGACCGUAGUAGGAUUCUGCACAUAUCCAGUGAAGAGACGAUGGCAUCUCUAUCAACAUUGCUGUCUAUGGAAAUGAAAGAAAUAGAAUGUUUCUUUUUGAUUACCUAUAUAAUUUGUUAAAAGAAUUUUAAUGUUCAAUGACUAUUAAAUAUUAUUCAUGAUCAUA